AAUGUACUCCCUCCGUCUGGAAAUACUUGUCCAAGGAAUGGAUGUAUCUAGAUGUAUNNUAGUUCUAGAUACAUCCAUUUCUAUCCAUUUUUGCAACAAGUAAUUCCGGACGGAGGGAGUAAUUA
rnacentral:pre_miRNA from 1 species